AUGCACUUGAAGUGUGAUCCAUCUGGAGUACACGUCUCGACUGAGCACCCGUUCCUGGCAGCCACCCGCGAUGGCCUUGUUAGUUGCUUCUGUUGUGGGCCGGGGCUCCUCGAGGUUAAGUGCCCUUAUAAAACACGGGAACUUUUUCAAGCAAAAAUUGCAGCAACACGUGAUGGGUGCCUCACAUCUAUCGACGGAGAGCUGCAGUUAAACCGGGAGCACUGCUACUAUUAUCGAGUGCAAAUGAAGAUCCUAGUCAGCAAGAGAAUGUACUGUGAUUUCGUUGUCUGGACCCUGAAGGACACAUUUAUAGAGCGGAUCUGCUUCAGCGAAGGCUUUUGCGAUGCAAUGCUUUCCAGAUGCAAGGAAUACUUUAGCACUGCUCUACUCCCAGAACUCUGCUUUAAGUACUGGACCAACAAAGAGGGCGAACAAGCUGCAGCAGUGGAUGACCCCAUGAGUGAAGACUCCGAUGAGCAAGAUUCAUUUUGCUAUUGUGGGGGCCAGGGUAUGGCGACAUGAUCCAGUGCGACGGCGAAAGCUGCAUUGGGAAGUGGUUCCACUUUAGUUGUGUUAAAAUCAAACGUGCCCCCAAAGCACGAAAGUGGUUCUGCAAGAAUUGUGCCUCGUCGUCGCAACACUAAC